CGGGACGGGUGAGUACUGUCUGGGAAACUGCCUGAUGGAGGGGGGUAACUACUGGAAACGGUAGCUAAUACCGCAUAACGUCGCAAGACCAAAGAGGGGGACCUUCGGGCCUCUUGCCAUCGGAUGUGCCCAGAUGGGAUUAGCUAGUAGGUGGGGUAACGGCUCACCUAGGCGACGAUCCCUAGCUGGUCUGAGAGGAUGACCAGCCACACUGGAACUGAGACACGGUCCAG
rnacentral:rRNA from 1 species